UGUUCCCGAGCAGUAGCCAUACAUAUGACAGCUUAACCUUCUUCAUUAGAAACAUUGAACAUUGAACAUUGUCUUCAUCGUCACAAGGUACUGGGUGUGGCUUAUAACCAGAGGCAGCACUGGCAGUGGCAAAAAGAUCUGUGUCUGUGGCUACUGCUGUCCGUGAGUACUUGCUGUCACUGCCCAGUGCCCCUUCGACUCUGUCAAGGGUGGAAUACAUGGAAGGUUGACGUUCAUGGUAGGACUGUCACAACAGUGGUCAGCAGUAUUCCUCAGUGUCAUGUCCUGUCCAGAUCUACAUUUUUUUUUGCAAUAAUUGUUGUAAUUAUUGUUGUAUUUGUGGUCUUGUUUUUUAGUCCU